rnacentral:rRNA from 1 species
CAUGUCUUUUUGAUUAUAAUUUAAAGUCUGACCUGCCCUCUGAUAUAUAGAUAUUGAAUGGCCGCGAUAAUUUGAUCGUGCAAAGGUAGCAUAAUAAUUAGUUUCUUAAUUAGGAACUGGAAUGAAAGGUUGGACGAGAAAAAAACUGUCUCAGUUUAAUUUAAUUAGAAUUUUAUUUUUAAGUAAAAAAGCUUAAAUAGUUUUAAAAGACGAGAAGACCCUAUAGAGUUUUAUAUUUAUUAAUUUAUUUUUUAGUUUAAGAAUUUUAUUUUAAUAUUAGUUAUAAAAUAUUUAGUUGGGGUGAUUGGAAAAUUUAAUAAACUUUUUUUUAUAAGAGCCAUUGAUAUAUGAAAAAUUGAUCCAUAUUUUAUGAUUAUAAGAUUAAAUUACCUUAGGGAUAACAGCGUAAUUUUUUUUGAGAGUUCUUAUCGAAAGAAAAGUUU